rnacentral:tRNA from 1 species
GGAGGGUAAGCUCAGUGCCAGAGCACAUGCCUAGCAUGCACGAGGUUCUGGGUUCAGUCCCCGGUACCUCCA